GAAACAUCUAUUAAAUAGCUAUUCACCAUGUCUCAUAUCUCACAGAAAGGACAGAGAUAUUAAAUUAACAACAAACACAUCCAGACAUGGCGUCCUCCAGCAGUCCCCUGUCUGAAGAGCAGUUCCUGUGCUCCAUCUGUCUGGAUGUGUUCACUGAGCUGGUCUCUAUUCAAUGUGGACACAACUUCUGCAUGCCCUGUAUCAGGAAGUACUGGGAUAGCAAUGAUCUGUGUCAGUGCCCCACGUGUAAAAAUACAUUUGAUAAGAGGAACAAUGAAACCCUUUACUUGAGAGAAGCCCCAGAAGUUGGGGGUGAUUGUUGAUUAUGAGGAGGGUCAGGUCUCUUUUUGUGAUGUGGAGGCCAGGUCUCAUAUCUACUAUUUUACUGGCUACAUAUUCACUGAGAAAAUAUUUCCAUACUUGAGCCCUAGCCUUAAUUAUGGUGGUAAAAAGUCUGCCUCUCUGAUAAUCUCUCCUGUCAAUCACACAAACUGAGUUUGAACCUGAAAGUAACUGACCUGUAAAAUUAGUACCUCAAUUAGAGUAAUCUUUUAUACACCAGGGAGAAUAUUUCACUGUAGUUUAUUAACUGUUGUUUAGUAUUAUCAGUAGCCUAUCUAUUUUUAAGUUCCCCACCAAAAAUGUCACUCAAACAGAAGGGGGAAUUAACAGAGUCACUGACUCCAAACGAAACAGGUGGGGUUUUAGGAGGGGUUCUAAAAGACAUUCAUGAGGGUGUCAACUGAAAGUUGACUCGUAACUACUGGGACCUAAAAGACACCCACAAUGAGUGCCCACUAACAGGCUAUCCACACCAAACAAAGACAGGAAGCAAACCAAAAUGGUGGAACAAAACAUAAACAAGUAAGAUCAGAUAAAGGUUUGUUCUUUCAGAAAUUAAAUAGGGAUUAAAUGUUUACUGUUGCAUUGUUUUUAUCAGAUAAUAUCAGCACUAUAUAUUUGUUUUAUCUAGAUAGUAUAUGCACUGUAUAUCUCUGUUGAUCCUCAAAAGCUGUAAUGGACACUGAGUAACAUUCAGGAUGUCUAGAUAAUUAAAUUCAGUUGAAUAGUGAUAAAAGUGGUAUUCAGUCUUGUAACAGAAAUAUAUGUGAUAUUGGUGUGUGUGUAAUGGUCUGUUUCUGUGGUUUUGUUGACUCAUCAUCACUAUAUAUACUUAUCAAAAGAUUUUCACUAACAAAUAAAGUCACAAGACACCUUGUG